UGGGGAAUCUUGCACAAUGGGGGCAACUCUGAUGCAGCGACGCCGCGUGAGCGAUGAAGCCCUUCGGGGCGUAAAGCUCUUUCGACCGGAACGAUAAUGACGGUACCGGGAGAAGAAGCUGCGGCUAACUACGUGCCAGCAGCCGCGGUAAUACGUAGGCAGCAAGCGUUGUUCGGAGUUACUGGGCGUCAAGAGUGCGUAGGCGGUUUUCUAAGUUCGGUGUGAAAUCUCCCGGCUUAACUGGGAGGGUGCGCCGAAGACUGGGAAGCUGUAGUGUGGGAAAGGCAGGCGGAAUUCCUGUUGUAGCUGUGAAAUGCGUAGAUAUCAGGAGUAACACCGGCGUUGUAGACGGCUUGCUAGACCAUAACUGACGCUGAGGCACGAAAGCGUGGGUAGCAAACA
rnacentral:rRNA from 1 species